GUUUUUUUUACAGAGUUAAAACUGGGGAAAAGAGUCUUGUACUUCAUGAAGUACAUUUCAUAAGGAAGCCAUGAUCUUGUAUUCCCUGCUGGUGCAAUUUCAGGUGUCAGCUUUGAUUCAUAAAGCCACACAUGGUUUGAUUCAUAAAGCCAUAGAGGAGUGUCUGACAGACUGCUUCUCUUCCUAUUUGUAAGAAAGGACGGGUGAUUGCUGUGGGUCCCUAAUAACUGUGUGGGGGAAAAAGAAAAUGUUCCCCUUUUCAGAAGGCCAAGGAGGAUGAUCUGGGGAGGUGCUGGCCACCUGAGCAGCCACCA